UACAGAGGUGGUAGCGUUGCUCGGUAUCACUGGGCUUAAAGGGCGCGUAGGCGGUGCGGUGCGGUUUCGGUGAAAUCCCUCGGCCCAACCGAGGAACAGCCGGGGCUACGGCCGCGCUAGACGACGAUCAGGGGACAGUGGAACUUCCGGUGGAGCGGUGAAAUGCGGUAGAUAUCGGAAGGAACGCCGGUGGCGAAAGCGACUGUCUGGGUGUCGUGGUGACGCUGAGGCGCGAAAGCAUGGGGAGCGAACGAGG
rnacentral:rRNA from 1 species